GACGAACGCUGGCGGCGUGCUUAACACAUGCAAGUCGAACGGAAAGGCCCUGCUUUUGUGGGGUGCUCGAGUGGCGAACGGGUGAGUAACACGUGAGUAACCUGCCCUUGACUUUGGGAUAACUUCAGGAAACUGGGGCUAAUACCGGAUAGGAGCUCCUGCUGCAUGGUGUGGGUUGGAAAGUUUCUGCGGUUGGGGAUGGACUCGCGGCUUAUCAGCUUGUUGGUGUGGUAGUGGCUUACCAAGGCUUUGACGGGUAGCCGGCCUGGGAAGGUGACCGGCGACAUGGGGACUGAGAUACGGCCAAGACUCCUACGGGAGGCAGCGGUGGGGAAUAUUGCACAAGGGGCGGAAGCCUGAGGCAGUAACGACGCGUGCGGGAUGACGGCCUUCGGGUUUUAAACCGCUUUCGCCUGUGACGAAGCGUGAGUGACGGUAAUGGGUAAAGAAGCAACGGCUAACUACGUG
rnacentral:rRNA from 1 species